rnacentral:miRNA from 1 species
AAUCCUUGGCACCUAGGUGUGAGU